GUGGCGCUCAGCCCUGUCCGUACUUCUGGUUGUGGCUGAGAGUCAAAAAUCUGAGCUGGAGGAGGAGGAGUGAGCCGGGGAGAGCAUGGCUGCAGGAUCCGAGUUCCCUGGACUUGCUGCCCGUAAGCUGGUGCCUCCUCCUCUCCCGACACAUCUGUAGGGGUGUCCCUGAGAUAAGGGAACUCAUCUUUAUUUGAACCCAGCAUCUGUCUUCUCUCCAAACUCUUCCCUCCUCCUCCUCCAGUGCAUGGCGCCGGCAUCCACCCAGUUCGACAACAAAGAUUCCAGGAGGCGUUGUGAAUUUCUGCCCAAGUGCGCGGAUCCUGGGGGAGAAGCCACCCUGACAUCUUAUUCAUGAUUAUCAGGCUGUUUGCUAUCAGUGCCCGUCGCGGCGCAGGCAACGUUCAAUCCGCAGCUUUGAAGAGGCAGGUACCACGAAUCCUACAACUGCAAGAAAUGAAGUGUUGUCAACCAGAACAUGACGUUGAAAGAGAACCUUGACCUCACAUGAGAGCCCAGCUCUGCCCAGCGUGUUGAAUGCAGCCUCGUGAGACCAUGAGCAAAGGACCCUACACCAUGCCUGAUGGACAGAGACUGAGACAAGAAGCGUGUGUUGUUUUGAAUUACAGUAGAUGGG